AUUGAACGCUGGCGGCAUGCUUUACACAUGCAAGUCGAACGGUAACAGGGAGCUUGCUCCGCUGACGAGUGGCGAACGGGUAAGUAAUGCGUCGGAACGUGCCGAGGAGUGGGGGAUAACGCAUCGAAAGGUGUGCUAAUACCGCAUACGAACUGAGGUUGAAAGUGGGGGACCUUCGGGCGUCACGCUAUUCUAGCGGCCGACGUCCGAUUAGCUAGUUGGUGAGGUAAAGGAUUACCAAGGCGACGAUCAGUAGCGGGUCUGAGAGGAUGAUCGGGCACACUGCGACUGAGUCACGGGCAAGACACGUACGGGAGGCAGCAGUGGGGAAUGUUGGACAAUGGGCGCAAGUCUGAUCCAGCCAUGCCGCGUGUCUGAAGGAGGCCUUCGGGUUGUAAAGGACUUUUGUCCGGGAGCAAAUGCUGGUGGCUAACAUCCACCGGAGCUGAGAGUACCGGAAGAAUAAGCACCGGCUAACUACGUGCCAGCAGCCGCGGUAACAC
rnacentral:rRNA from 1 species